rnacentral:rRNA from 1 species
UUUUAAAUGGCCGCAGUAUUUUGACUGUGCAAAGGUAGCAUAAUCAUUAGUUUUUUAAUUAAAAGCUUGUAUGAAAGGCUGGACGAGGUAAAAUCUGUCUCUAUUUAAAUUAUAAUAGAAUUUAACUUUUAAGUUAAAAGGCUUAAAUAUUAUUAAAAGACGAGAAGACCCUAUAGAGCUUUAUAGUUUAUUUAAUAAUAUUAAUUUAGAAGUAUUUAUGUUUUAUUAAAUAAAGUUAUUUUAUUGGGGUAAUAGAAAGAUUGAAUUAAUUCUUUUUUAUUAUAAACAUUGAUUUAUGAAUUUAAAUGAUCCAGUUUUAUUGAUUAUAAGAUUAAGUUACCUUAGGGAUAACAGCGUAAUUUUUUUAGAGAGUUCAUAUCGAUAAAAAAGUUUGCGACCUCGAUGUUGGAUUAAAGAUUAUUUUAGGUGCAGAAGCUUAAUAAUUUUGGUCUGUUCGACCAUUAAAUCUUUACAUGAUCUGAGUUCAGACCGGCGUAAGCCAGGUCGGUUUCUAUCUUUAAUAAAAUAAAAUAUUUUAGUACGAAAGGACCAAAUAUUUAAUAUAGUUAUAUUUGAUUUAUUGAAUAUUA